AACGAACGCUGGCAGCAUGCCUAACACAUGCAAGUCGAACGAAGCCUUCGGGCUUAGUGGCGCACGGGUGCGUAACGCGUGGGAAUCUGCCCUUGGAUUCGGAAUAACAGUUAGAAAUGACUGCUAAUACCGGAUGAUGUCUUCGGACCAAAGAUUUAUCGCCCAAGGAUGAGCCCGCGUAGGAUUAGGUAGUUGGUGGGGUAAUGGCCCACCAAGCCGACGAUCCUUAGCUGGUCCGAGAGGAUGAUCAGCCACACUGGGACUGAGACACGGCCCAGACUCCUACGGGAGGCAGCAGUGGGGAAUAUUGGACAAUGGGCGAAAGCCUGAUCCAGCAAUGCCGCGUGAGUGAUGAAGGCCUUAGGGUUGUAAAGCUCUUUACCAGGGAUGAUAAUGACAGUACCUGGAGAAUAAGCUCCGGCUAACUCCGUGCCAGCCGCCGCAGUAACAC
rnacentral:rRNA from 1 species